GUGGGGAAUUUUGGACAAUGGGGGCAACCCUGAUCCAGCCAUGCCGCGUGCGGGAAGAAGGCCUUCGGGUUGUAAACCGCUUUUGUCGGGGAAGAAAUCCUUUGGGUUAAUACCUCGGAGGGAUGACGGUACCUGAAGAAUAAGCACCGGCUAACUACGUGCCAGCAGCCGCGGUAAUACGUAGGGUGCGAGCGUUAAUCGGAAUUACUGGGCGUAAAGCGUGCGCAGGCGGUUUUGUAAGAUCGAUGUGAAAUCCCCGGGCUCAACCUGGGAACUGCAUUGGUGACUGCAAGGCUGGAGUGCGGCAGAGGGGGAUGGAAUUCCGCGUGUAGCAGUGAAAUGCGUAGAUAUGCGGAGGAACACCGAUGGCGAAGGCAAUCCCCUGGGCCUGCACUGACGCUCAUGCACGAAAGCGUGGGGAGCAAACAGGAUUAGAAACCCUAGUAGUCC
rnacentral:rRNA from 1 species